rnacentral:rRNA from 1 species
CUAGACGCUGAGGACGUAGCUUGCUAUUGAAUCUUGUUUAGCUUAGUGGCGGACGGGUGAGUAACGCGUGAGCAACCUGCCUUUCAGAGGGGGAUAACGUUUGGAAACGAACGCUAAUACCGCAUAAUAUUAUUGGAUCGCAUGGUCUGAUAAUCAAAGGAGCAAUCCGCUGAAAGAUGGGCUCGCGUCCGAUUAGGUAGUUGGCGGGGCAACGGCCCACCAAGCCGACGAUCGGUAGCCGGACUGAGAGGUUGAACGGCCACAUUGGGACUGAGACACGGCCCAGACUCCUACGGGAGGCAGCAGUGAGGGAUAUUGGUCAAUGGGGGAAACCCUGAACCAGCAACGCCGCGUGAGGGAAGACGGUUUUCGGAUUGUAAACCUCUGUCCUCUGUGAAGAUGAUGACGGUAGCAGAGGAGGAAGCUCCGGCUAACUACGUGCCAGCAGCCGCGGUAAUACGUAGGGAGCGAGCGUUGUCCGGAUUUACUGGGUGUAAAGGGUGCGUAGGCGGCUCUGCAAGUCAGAAGUGAAAUCUAUGGGCUUAACCCAUAAACUGCUUUUGAAACUGUGGAGCUUGAGUGAAGUAGAGGUAGGCGGAAUUCCCGGUGUAGCGGUGAAAUGCGUAGAGAUCGGGAGGAACACCAGUGGCGAAGGCGGCCUACUGGGCUUUAACUGACGCUGAGGCACGAAAGCGUGGGUAGCAAACA